rnacentral:rRNA from 1 species
AGCAGUAGCCGCGGGAAAACGGAGGGAGCUAGCGUUGUUCGGAAUUACUGGGCGUAAAGCGCGCGUAGGCGGUUACUCAAGUCAGAGGUGAAAGCCCAGGGCUCAACCCCGGAACUGCCUUUGAAACUAGGUGACUAGAAUCUUGGAGAGGUCAGUGGAACUCCGAGUGUAGAGGUGAAAUUCGUAGAUAUUCGGAAGAACACCAGUGGCGAAGGCGACUGACUGGACAAGUAUUGACGCUGAGGUGCGAAAGCGUGUGGAGCAAACAGGAUUAGAUACCCCCGUAGUCCCUGUCUCUUAUAA